rnacentral:lncRNA from 1 species
AGGGGAAGAAAGCCGAGUUGGGGAAAGGGAAGGGGAGGAAAAUUUUCUCCAGGGAAAAUUCCUUACAUGGUAACACCAACUGGCAUUUACUGACAAUUUACUGAGUGUCAGCCACUAUCCUAAGUGCCUCCAAUUAUCUCAAUCAUCACAGUCACCUGACAAGCAGGGAAAUGACUCGGUCAAUGAGAUUUGGGGAGCUCACUCUGACUACUGUGUGCAUUGGAGGAACCAAGGCUGGAUGCAGAGAGACCAGGUCAGAAAGGUGUUCGACGAUCCAGACCAAGGACAACAGCACGCCCCUCUCUGCAGCCCGAAUGCUGAGAAUGGAAAAUCAUUAGGCAAACGAAAUUUACACAUAGACUUCUACAACUAGAAGAGAUAUUUGAGGACAUCUCGUUAAAUUCCUUAUUUUACCAAUGAGAUGUGGAGAGACAAAAUGCCUGGCCAAGGUCGCAGAGCAAGUCAGAACUGUGUGCAUGUGUAGUAUGACCAUGUUCUCCCAGAGUCUUCAGCCAGCCCUACUUAGAAGUCCUUUGAUGUGCCAGCUCCAGGAUGAGCACUGGAUUCCACAGGCUCUCCCAAAACCAAGGAAGAGAACCAGAAUCUUGUGGAAUCUCUGAUUUGGUAGGAAGCCUAGAACUUGCCUGUCCACUCCACGCUGAGUACAGAAGUCCGAGCCGAGGCGCUCACUGAGCACCCCCGGGGCUGUGGCACUCGCUGCUGUGGGAGCCGGUCCUCAUGUUUCUGCAUAUCUUGCAAGCAGAGGCACCAACUAUCUUUUCAAAGAUGUUUGUAGAGCCAACAGCCUCUGAAGACAGAGAUAGUGUCUCCCUCAGAAGCAGAGGACAGAUUCCUUUGCUGUCCCGCAUAAUAC